GGCCUUCUAGCUCAUUUGAGUAGAGCGUUGGCUUUUCUAAAGUCUUCCCCUUGAUGGCGUGGGUUUGAAUCCCACCGAGGUUCA
rnacentral:tRNA from 1 species